rnacentral:sRNA from 1 species
GCGUGCUCCGGGCGUCGGC